CAGGCUUAACACAUGCAAGUCGAGGGGCAGCAUGGUCUUAGCUUGCUAAGGCCGAUGGCGACCGGCGCACGGGUGAGUAACACGUAUCCAACCUGCCGUCUACUCUUGGACAGCCUUCUGAAAGGAAGAUUAAUACAAGAUGGCAUCAUGAGUCCGCAUGUUCACAUGAUUAAAGGUAUUCCGGUAGACGAUGGGGAUGCGUUCCAUUAGAUAGUAGGCGGGGUAACGGCCCACCUAGUCUUCGAUGGAUAGGGGUUCUGAGAGGAAGGUCCCCCACAUUGGAACUGAGACACGGUCCAAACUCCUACGGGAGGCAGCAGUGAGGAAUAUUGGUCAAUGGGCGAGAGCCUGAACCAGCCAAGUAGCGUGAAGGAUGACUGCCCUAUGGGUUGUAAACUUCUUUUAUAAAGGAAUAAAGUCGGGUAUGGAUACCCGUUUGCAUGUACUUUAUGAAUAAGGAUCGGCUAACUCCGUGCCAGCAGCCGCGGUAAUACGGAGGAUCCGAGCGUUAUCCGGAUUUAUUGGGUUUAAAGGGAGCGUAGAUGGAUGUUUAAGUCAGUUGUGAAAGUUUGCGGCUCAACCGUAAAAUUGCAGUUGAUACUGGAUAUCUUGAGUGCAGUUGAGGCAGGCGGAAUUCGUGGUGUAGCGGUGAAAUGCUUAGAUAUCACGAAGAACUCCGAUUGCGAAGGCAGCCUGCUAAGCUGCAACUGACAUUGAGGCUCGAAAGUGUGGGUAUCAAACAGGAUUAGAUACCCUGGUAGUCCACACGGUAAACGAUGAAUACUCGCUGUUUGCGAUAUACUGCAAGCGGCCAAGCGAAAGCGUUAAGUAUUCCACCUGGGGAGUACGCCGGCAACGGUGAAACUCAAAGGAAUUGACGGGGGCCCGCACAAGCGGAGGAACAUGUGGUUUAAUUCGAUGAUACGCGAGGAACCUUACCCGGGCUUAAAUUGCAGAUGAAUUACGGUGAAAGCCGUAAGCCGCAAGGCAUCUGUGAAGGUGCUGCAUGGUUGUCGUCAGCUCGUGCCGUGAGGUGUCGGCUUAAGUGCCAUAACGAGCGCAACCCUUGUUGUCAGUUACUAACAGGUUCCGCUGAGGACUCUGACAAGACUGCCAUCGUAAGAUGUGAGGAAGGUGGGGAUGACGUCAAAUCAGCACGGCCCUUACGUCCGGGGCUACACACGUGUUACAAUGGGGGGUACAGAGGGCCGCUACCACGCGAGUGGAUGCCAAUCCCCAAAACCUCUCUCAGUUCGGACUGGAGUCUGCAACCCGACUCCACGAAGCUGGAUUCGCUAGUAAUCGCGCAUCAGCCACGGCGCGGUGAAUACGUCCCCGGGCCUUGUACACACCGCCCGUCAAGCCAUGGGAGCCGGGGGUACCUGAAGUGCGUAACCGCGAGGAGCGCCCUAGGGUAAAACUGGUGACUGGGGC
rnacentral:rRNA from 1 species